UACAGUUUAAUAACAGGAUAUAAUUACAUAUACAAAUAACUAAAAUAGAAUGAUAAUAAUAGAUAGCAUGCUUAUAGAACUUCACAACUUAUACAGAACCUCCUUUACAGCAUAUUUGUAUAUUAACUGGUACAACCAAUUUACAGAUGAGAAAACUGAAGUUUCAGAAAGGUUAAAUGCCUUUCUCACAGUCACAUCACGAGCAAAGUAAAGAGCCAGGACCGGCUUCGGCUUCUCAUCCCAAAUCAUAGGUUUUCAUUACAGCAUCUGCAUUAGAAAAGUACAGACUAAAGGCUGAGAAGAAAAGUAGGGAGCAAGUAUUUCGGUCUGGCUAGACAACUGAGUGUGUGGAAGGCAAUAUCAUAACAUUUAUCUGGAAAGAGGGGAACACUAAAUAUGACUUUAUCUUAUAGGCAAUAGAGAGCUGUAAAAAGUUUUGAAUAGAGAUCAAAGUCAAUCAUUGAAAGAAUAUUCUUACAGCCAGCAUAAGUAAUAAUAAAAUUCAAAAUGAAAUUAGACUCGCUGAGCUAAUGAUCCCCCAAAAUAGGUUUUUAAGCUAUUAGAUGCAAUUCUUCACAAAGUACAACUCUAAUGUCUGACUGUAAUAUAAAAUCUGUACCAACAGAGUACAGAUUGUAUCAAGACCAAACAUUCUUGAAAGGCUUUGAGUAAUAUGUUGACAACAGAAUAAAGUUACUUCCUUAAGACCCAAAGUAAAUCUACUUUCUGAUGAAAGGAGAUGCUCAUAAUCAUGAAGUUGGUCUCUAUAUCAUAAAAUUUUUAGCUAUGGCAAAUCAUUAAACAACAACAAAAAAAAAACAAGAUAGUACUCAUUCCUUGCUCCUAUCUGGUGGUAGAAAAGGGUACAAAAGUGCUUUUAAAAAAACAAUGUUUAAAAAAACAUUUUAAAAAAUGAUCAUUAAGUCAUCUGUAAAUAUGAACUUAAUUUGUUGAUACUCCUUCUCUUAUAGACAAACUACUUGUGGAACUAACUCAAUCUUGACUUUUUUCUGUAAUUGAACAGAAGACAAAAAGAUUAUAGCAUCUAGAACCAGAAGAGAUAUUAAAGACUCUUGAAUUCCCCCUUCCCAGCCCUGUCAUUUUAUAAAUGAGGAAAUUGAGAUUAAAUGAUAUGUCUAAGGUCACACAGCUAGUAAGGUUCAAAGCCCAAUUUGAUUUUAUCAUAUACCCAGAGGCAAAAGAAAUAUUUCAUGUGAUACUUGGCUAACAUUUCAAUGUUCAUUAUGAACAUCUAUAAAAGGAGGUGAAUAAAUAUUAAUCUACACAAUAUCUGUUAUCAGACAAAGAAAUUCUUGUGAUGAACUUGAAAGGAUUUCCCAAAUUAAAUCAAUCUAUUUUUUAAUAUUAUGUUACUUUAAUGCAAAUGUAGACCUGUUAAAGUCCAUUGAAAUAAUGUCCAAAAAAUAUGGAUUAAGAGUAAGAAAAUUUUGUAGACUAUAAAAAAAACCUCAUGUCUAUAUCACAAAUAUUUUCUUCAAGAAAGGAGUCUAAAAAAGUUUACUUCAUGUCAAUCAAUCACUGCAAAUGAAACCAAAGGGGUUAUGAAACCAUCUUAGCUAAUAAAUUUGCCUCCUUGUGAAGUGGAAUUACAUGGCAGCCAAGGACAACAUUGGUUUGGAAUAUAAAGUUAUUCAUAAAAUCUUACAAAGAAUAAUGGUGGAAGAUUAUGAGCAAAGUUGUCACAGAAUUCCAAAAUUUUAAAAUUGCUUGGGACUAUGGUAGUCAUCAUCCAAAAGGACUCCACUCUUAUAAUAUAUCUAUUGAAACAUACUUUUGCUUUUUUUGUAUCCACAGGGCUUAACACAGUGCCUGGCACAUAAAAUUGAUGGAGUCAAUCAAUAAUCAAUCAAUCAAUUAAUCAAAGAUUUUCUGACUAAAAAUAUCAAGUGAGGCAUAAAACAUGCUUAUUAACAAUGUCACCCACUUGUCCCAUAAGGAUCCAGAUGGAAGAUAGUUUCUGUACAUGAUAAUGUUUUCCAGAUGCUCUUAUUUUCAAGAGGGUAGCAAGGAGAGUAUUAUUUUCAUAAAACCAAAGAACAGUGCAAAUUUGCUAAGUAAAAUUUAUAAUCACUUAAAAGAGAGCCCUAUUCAAAUAGGAAAAAGUCAAGAUGAAAAGUAUCUAUUAUCUGGAUUUGGGCUUGAUAUUGGAUGAAUAGCAAAUGGAACUCAUCCAUCAGUAAAUAUAUUUUAAACAGAUAAAGCAGAUGAGUAACAAUUUGAUCUGAAAUUGAAAAGAAUAGUUAGAUAGCGUUUGGGAAAUUGUAGAUUGCUUUUGACGACCCCAACCUUCUAUCUAAAAUAAAGGAAUGCUUUGUGAUUACCUACAAAGGGAAAUAAUGAUCAUUAAAAGUCAGAAAUCAUUGUCAUCAAGAAAAGACCAAAACUAUUUAAUUUCAUUUCUUGUGGGUUAGCAGGUAGCAUGGUAGAUUAGGAGGGAUAGGAUUUGAGGAAGGCCUCAAUUCAAAUCUGGCCUCAGAAACUUGCUAGCUGUGUUACCCUGGGCAAGGGUAUCUUAAAUCCUUUUUUCCUCAGUUUCUUCAACUGUAAAAUGGGGAUGAUAAGGGCACCUAUCUUAGAGAGUUGUUAUGAUGUUAUUUGUAAAAUGCUUCAUAACAGUGCCUGGCAUAGAGUAGGUACUGUAUAAAAAUUCAUCUUACCUUCUCUUUUCUCCCAUUUACCUUUUUCUUUAGACAGGAUAGAUCAAGCACACAUUCCAAACAUGGUAUGCUUAGAUUUCUACAUGAUCUUUGAUGAAGUUCCUCAUAUGAAGAAGGUAGAAAAAAUGUAAGAUGGAUUAGACUACACCUAAGGAUUUAGAAUUGGAUGAAUUAAGAGAUUGAUGUCUGUUUGAAAGGAGCUCUCUAAUGAAGUAUCCCAAAGGUCUAUCAUUAGCCCUUUACUUUUCAAUAGUUUUAUUAAUUAUUUGGAUAAAGGCAUAAAAGGCAUACUUGUAAAAAAAAUUACAAUUAACACAAAUCUUGACAGGAUAGCUGAUAGACAGAGGACCCUUAUAAAUUAGAGCAAUGGGUCACAUUAAAUAAGAUGAAAUUUAAAAAGAAAUAAAUUUUACACUUAGGUUCAUGGAAUCAAUUUCACAAAUAUAGGAAAGAGGAGAGAUAUGGAUAAACAAAAAGAUCUGGCAGUUACGAUACUGAUGCUUUAUGGACUAGGUCUCAAAUUCUCCUGAAAACCUCAAGGUCUUUGUGACUUCUACUCUCCACUACAUAGGAAUCCUGACUCCCAAAUCUUUCUAAAGUUGAGUGAACUUUCCCCUAGCCAAGGUAGUAUACAGAUUUCUCUUAUCCACUCCAACUCUUGGGAUCUAAAAUGGUUCAACUCAUUUGCCCCACAGAUCAUUGGAAGAAGGUGAUCACAUUCAGCUGUCUUAAUGAGGAUUUUGUGGAGGAAGAUGAUAAAGAUGCUACCUUAUGGCCCAUGACAGUGACUUUUUUCACUCUGUUCCUGCUCAGCAUGUUCUACAAUACCACAGUGACCCUCAUCAAGACAAAGUCUGGCCCAGCUAUCAAGUACUAAGCCUCUAAACAAGCAAGACACCUGAUGUUGGUGAGCUUUAUGAGAAAUCAAAGCCAUCACCAAGGACCAGAGUCUACUAGACAAGUUGCAGCUCCCACAGUGAAAACCAAUCCCCACUCUCAUCCUUCCAGUCUCUCUUGAGCCUGAAUGAUUCUGUAUAAUAAAGAUAGAACCUUUCUUCGA